rnacentral:misc_RNA from 1 species
AAGACUAUAGACCUGCGGAGUACCUGCGGAGGGAUCAUUAUCAAUUUACAGCGGACUUCGGUCCUGUCUGCACCCUUGUCUUUUGCGUACUAUAUGUUUCCUCGGUGGGCUUGCCUGCCGAUAGGACACUUAUAAACUCUUUUGUAAUUGCAAUCAGCGUCAGAAAACUAUAAUAGUUACAACUUUCAGCAAUGGAUCUCU